AUCUCCAGAUAGAGAUCUAUCUGGAACCUCUUGGAACCCUUCUGUGAGCUUAGGACAUGGACAGCAAAGUCACAAUAGAAGAGGCUUGGGCAUUCCAGUUGUGUGAUGGCUCCACAGAUUGUGCCUCCUCAGUGCUUUGUAUGGGCAUUAUGGUCAUGCCCCAAGUGUUUCUGCAAACUGUUCUCCAACCUUUGCUUACCACCCUGUGCUUCUGUGCCCCUGGAGAAUGUGAAGGCACUGGGCACCCUGUGAAUGAGCCUGUUACUGUGAUUCAGCAACUCUACACUGCACAGCAUCUGUGCAUAAGGAAGAGAGAAAAUGCAAAGUCUGACAGAGAAGAGGUGACUGCUUAUUGGCAGACUUUGCUCUGCCUGGAUGUGUGAUGCAUUCACCUGUGCCAGCCAUGGCAGAGAAGCUGUGCUGCCCUUCUAGGGGAAGCAUCUCAGGACUUUUGGAAAAUAAAUACCUGCAAGUCUGCCUGGGUUAUAUAUGGUCCUCUUAUUUAACCCUGCAAUGGGUGUACUGUAAU
ensembl:lncRNA